rnacentral:tRNA from 1 species
CAAGGAAUAGUAUAUAAAGUGCGUUUUGUUUACACCAAAAAAGAGAAGUUUUCUUCCUUGA